GGAGUCAGAGACAUGGCAUUAGGCUACCCUAGCGAACCUAAAACUUAGCUUGCUUCCUCAUUGGGAAGGAGCUCUGGCAGUUUCAGGAAAAUGAUUCACCUUCAAACUCUCCAGGAAGAAACAAUGAAGUAUCUGAAGACAAGAUUUCUGAGUUCAGAGGCUUACUUCACAGUUUCAGAGCGGCAGUGCAGAAGAGAAAUACAUGUCUCAAACUGGGUCAUGUAACUCUGGAGUCCUCAAUUCCAUCCCUGACUUGGAAGAUGAAUGACAUCUGCCAGAACAGCUCUACUGGAGCCAUCUUUCCUUACUCAUGCCGGCAAGAACUAUGACUGUCCAGAUUCAUACAAAAAUUUACGUCCACCAUUUGCUCGCUUCAGAAUGGAGGCCCACUUGGUCUGCACAAACCUCUGGCUGAGCUGACUGGCAGUAGAGCUAAGCUGAGCUCAUGCUUCAACCCUGGACUCCCCAGGCUACACUACUCUGUCUUGCGGUCUGCUCUGUCAUGGAAAAGGUAACACAGUCAAAUGUAUUUAUCUGGUUUCUUCCCCCAGAAUGUUCAAUCUGUGAAAUGAGUCAAAAUCACACUAGUGAAAAUUCUAUUCCAAAUGGGCCUGAAUAUUCCAGCACACCAUCCAGAAUGAUAAAGCCAACUUCUGACAGGAAAGAAAUACACUCGGGAGUUUUAAACAAUA